ensembl:lncRNA
GCGGUGGCCGAGGUGGUUCCCGAUGCCGAGGCGGUGCCCGAUGCGGUGCCAGAGACGGUGCCAGAGACGGUUCCCGAUGUAAUGCCCGAGACUGAGGCUGUUCCGGAGGUCGAGGCGGUGCCCGAUGUUGUUCCCGAUGCCGAGGCGGUGCCCGAUGCAGAGGUCGUUCCCGAGGCGGUGUCCUUGUCCAAGGCCGUUCCCGAGGCCGUUCCUGAGGCGGUGCCCGAUGCUGAGGCCGUUCCCGAGGCGGUGCCCGAUGCCGAGCCCGAGGCCGUUCCCGAGGCGGUGUCCUUGUCCAAUGCCGUUCCUGAGGCCAUUCCUGAGGCGGUGCCCGAUCCUGUUCCGGAGGCCGAUGCGGGGCCCGAGAUGGUUCCGGAGGCGAUACCCGUGUCCAAGGCCGUUCCCGAGGCGGUGCCCUUGUCUGAGGCCGUUCCCGAUGCCGUUCCCAAUGCCGUGACCUGGCCAUCGCCACAGCCUGCUCCUUACUGGCUCCCCGAUUGGCAGGUUCCGUUCGGGCCACUCAAAUGGCGAAUUCCUCCCUGGCCGUCUGCACAACGAGAAUGGACUGAUCCACCGUGGCCACCUGAACUGCCUGGCCCCUCGUGGUCCCCUGAACUUUCGGGUCCACCGUGGCCACCUGAACUGCCUGGUCCCUCAUGGUCCCCUGAACUUUCGGGUCCACCGGGGCCACCUGAACUGACCGAGCCACCUGGGCUGCCAGGGGAACCAUCGCUGCCGGUCCCAGUUCCCCUACACGGGCCUGGCCCGCCAUCCC